UUCAGAAUAUCAACAAAGUGUGAUUUGUGGAGUGACAAGUGGAGAUCAAUAUAAAUAAACAGGAGAUUAUAAUAAUAUUGAACGAUUUGAUAAAGUCUGAAGAGUUGACAUUAAUAUAGUUUCAUUGUCUAGCUACAGAUGUUGAUUUGUGAACGAGGAAUAAUGGACACUUGAACGGAGCAAAAUCCUUGUUUUGUUUUGACUCUCAUUUUCAGAUGAUCAUGGCAUUCCAAAAUGGAUUUCUUAAAAGAAAAGUAGACCGGGAAAUAAAUAAUGUCAGUAGACAAACAUUUGAGAGAAGUUUACAAGUUACUCCAGAGUUAAUAGAUAGACUGGGGUUAGAGAAAGAACUUGAGGGUCACCAUGGUUGUGUUAAUUGUUUGGAAUGGAACGAGAAAGGAACGUUAUUAGCCAGUGGUUCAGAUGAUGUCCAAGUGAUUAUAUGGGACCCAUUUCAUCAUAAAAGUUUGACAACAUUACGAACCAGACAUGAAGGAAAUAUCUUCUCUGUCAAGUUCCUGCCAAAUUCUAAUGAUUCCAUACUUGUGUCUGGUGCAGCUGAUUGUAAAAUCCAUGUACAUGAUCUCAAUCAAGGGGAAACAACUCAUGACUUUGGUUGUCAUAGUGGCAGAGUAAAACGUCUGGCUGUAGCUCCUAAUGUGCCAUUUAUGUUCUGGAGUGCUGCUGAAGAUGGUGCUAUCAUGCAACAUGACUUACGAACACCGGAAACCAGUAAAACCAACCCCAAAAAUGUCCUGAUUAAUCUGAAUGCCCACAUGGGUGGUAAUGCUGAAGCCAAAUGUAUAGCUAUAAACCCAGUCAGACCUGAACAGAUAGCUGUAGGAGCUAACGAUCCAUAUGUACGGCUGUAUGAUCGUAGAAAAUUAUCUUGUAAAGCCAUGAAAAUGCCAGAGGAAACUAAUGGAAGAACUUUAUGGGAUAGUCCGUCAAAUUCGAUACAGUAUCAUCCAGAUGAUUUUGCAAUGCAGCAAGAUUCUGUUCAUUAUUUUAUAGCAGGCCACCUUCCUCAAAAACAGAAAGACUACAAGAAAAGAUACAGAACCUUAGCGUCAACCUAUCUGACAUUUAGUCCUGACGGGACUGAGCUGUUGGUCAAUCUUGGCGGAGAACAGAUUUAUUUAUUUGAUGUCAACUCACAGAGAAAAGCUGAGAAGUUUGACAUAUCAAUGAUUUUAGCUCAAAAUGGUGUUGUUAAAGAAGCAGCUUGUACAAAUGGAUUUAGUCUUCAUAAAAAUGGUACAACGAAUGGUGUUGCUAAUGGUGUACAGGCUGCUGCCGCUGCUGUGAUGAAGGCUGAAUUAGAAGUCGAAGCUAAAUAUAGAUCUGUAAAAAGGCACAAACUGGAUGCUAAAGGCUUACCACAGGCCGUGGAGAUACUAAAGAAGAAGGCUAACAGUUAUUUUGAAAAAGAACAUUAUUCUAAGGCUAUUUAUUUAUAUAACCAAGCCAUUGCUAGAGCCUCUAAUUCUUCUGUGUUGUUUGGAAAUAGGGCAGCGGCUUACAUGAAAAGAAAAUGGGAUGGUGAUUUAUAUGCAGCAUUAAGAGACUGUCACAGUGCUUUACAGUUAGAUCCAAACCAUUUAAAAGCUCAUUUUCGAUUGGCUAGAUGUUUGUAUGAGUUGUCAUGGCCACAGGAAGCCUAUGAUUGUUUACAACAAUUUAAAAAUAAGUUUCCAGACUAUGCAAAAAGUAAUGCUUGUGAAGCAUUAGACAAAGAUAUUAAAGCAGCCAUUAGCUCCAAUGCAGAUGAGAAAGACCCAGAUAAUUCUGUAGAUCCACAAGCUGCUAUGAGAAAGAAGUCCUUCCCAAUAUCUGACCAGGAGAAGUUAUGGCGGGAAGCAGCCUUUGACCAUGAGUCAAGGUUCUGUGGGCAUUGCAAUACAACAACAGAUAUAAAAGAGGCCAACUAUUUUGGAAGCAAUGGUCAGUAUAUAGUAGCAGGAUCUGAUGACGGUUCUUUCUUUAUAUGGGAGAAGAAUACUACAAAUAUUGUACGGGUAUUAAAGGGAGACGACUCUAUAGUAAAUUGUUUACAGCCACAUCCAAGUCAUUGCUUGUUAGCGACCAGUGGAAUAGACCCAGUGGUACGAUUGUGGAGUCCUUUAGCAGAGGACGGUUCAAAGAAUGAAAGAGAAAUUGAUAACUCAGAUGACGCAGCAUUAGCCAAUCAAAAGAGAAUGAAUGCUGACCCCUUAGAGGUCAUGCUAAUGAACAUGGGAUACCGGAUCACUGGAGUGUUUGAUGUAGAUGAAGAAGAAGAACAGAGGGGCGACCAAGGGGUUAAUUGCCGACCCAGUUGAGUUGCCUUGAUUUAUAGAUUAAUAAUUUAAGAUAGUUUAUUAAGUUUAAAACUUGUUUUUGUAUAUGAAUUGUUAUUGUGAUGUUGUUAAACCAGAUUAUGAUACAUAAUUAUUUAAAUGGCUGUAUAACAGUAUUCUGUCCUCCUGUAAAAUGUCCUCAUUGCUUGAUCGAUAUUUGUUAUCUCCCCUUGCUUAUUUUAUUGUACAACAAGUCUGUAUCAUACAUAUGUUUUGAAUUAAAACUGAAAAGAUCAUUGAUCCAUGCUUUCCUUUGACUUGAAUAGACAGAAGAAAAAAAACAACAGGUAUUGUUUGUUUUUUUUAUGGAUUUUGUAAUUUUGAUUAUAGAUUCCAAAAAUGCAGGAUGUGUGCAGGAAAUAAACGAUUUUUUUUUUUAAUCUUCCUUACAAACAAAUUUGUGAAAAAAUUGUAUCUUCAUGUACUAGUUGUAUUCUAAAAAUAUACUUUUUUAUAUAAAUUCUAAAUGAUUCACAAUUAAAUUUGUUCAAAAUCUCUCUGUCUUGUGCUUCGAAGUAUGACAAUAAAUAUGUUUAUUAAUUGCCUUUUAAGUACUGUAAAUUCAGAACUUAUUGCUUGUAUUCAUAAUUGCAAUAAUUUUUAUUUAUCAAUGGACAAGAAUGGGAAUGCUACAUCAAAGUUUAAAAUGAGAAGUUGGAUUAAUGCAAUAGGAAUUCUGUUACAUUUUUAAAAAUCCGAAAAUGAUAUCAAAUAUUAAUGUAGAAUGUACAUUAAUUAUUUUAAUUUAUAAUGAAGUCAUAUUGUUUUUUGAAUUAAUUUCAGUUCUUAGUUUUUAAGAAAUUUUUUUCAUCAGUUGAAAUUUUUUAAAGAUAAAAACAAGGAGAAUUUUCAUUAUUAAAGAUAAAUUGUAAAUAGGUAAAUUUAUGCAAAUAUUUUAGCAAUUAUUCCACGUCUCUUGAAGUGAUAGAUAGUAUUUUGGAACAAUGAACACAUUUUUGUCGAGCCUGCGACUUUUGUCGCAGAAAGCUCGACAUAGGGAUAGUGAUCCGGCGGCGGCGGCGGUGUUAGCUCACUUCUUAAAAGCUUUAUAUUUUAGAGGAUGGAAGACCUGGAUGCUUCAUACUUUGUAUAUGGAUGCCUCAUGUUACGAAGUUUCCGUCAGUCACAUGUCCAAUGUCCUUGACCUCAUUUUCAUGGUUCAGUGACUACUUGAAAAAAAAGUUAAGAUUUUUUGUAAUGUUAAAUUCUCUCUUAUUAUAAGUAAUAGGAUAACUAUAUUUGGUAUGUGCGUACCUUGCAAGGUCCUCAUGCCCGUCAGUCAGUUUUCACUUGACCUUGACUUCAUUUCAUGGAUCAGUGAACAAGGUUAAGUUUUGGUGGUCAAGUCCAUAUCUCAGAUACUAUAAGCAAUAGGUCUAGUAUAUUCGGUGUAUGGAAGGACUGUAAGGUGUACAUGUCCAACUGGCAGGCGUCAUCUGACCUUGACCUCAUUUUCAUGGUUCAGUGGUCAAAGUUAAGUUUUUGAGAUUUGAUCUUUUUUUCUAAUACUAUAUGCAAUAGGUCAACUACAUUUGGUGUAUGGAAAUAUUUUAUGAUCUAUAUGUCAGUCACGCAGGUUUUAUUUGACCUUGACCUCAUUUUCAAGGUUCAUUGCUCAGUGUUUUGGUCUGUUUUUCUUAAACUAUAAGCAAUAGGUCAACCAUAUUUGUUGUAUGGAAGAAUUGUUAGCUGUACAUGCCUGCCUAGCAUGGUUCAUCUGACCUUGACCUCAUUUUCAUGGUUCAUUGGUCAAUGUUUAGUUUACUUGGGUUAAUGUUAAGUUUAUGUGACAGUUGUAAUAAAGCUUUAUAUUUAGGACUAUCAGCACAAUAUCAAUGAUUAGUAAAGAAGGCGAGACAUUUCAGCGUGUGCACUCUUGUUUUUUUUUAUUAUAAUUUUUUUUUACAAGGAAUUGAAGAAAUCAUUGAAAAAAAAUUAAAUCUUUUCAAAGUAGGUUUAUUUUUAUCACCUAUUGGCUAUUUUAUUUGGACCAUAACAUUUUGGGCAUGGCAUUGUAAUGCAUUGCAUGUACCACUCAUUUUAUUAUUCAAUACUUUGCAGUAACUUUUGUUCUAGUAACAAUAAAAGCUGAAAUUUUAUCAAAAUAAUAUUUGCCUCUGAUGAAGUGUUUUGAACGAAAAUUGCAAUUUUAGUUCUGACUUUUUGAAACAAAUUAUAGUCACAAAGUGACAAAAUAAAAAAAAUAACUUAUUCUAAUAACUUUUCCUCUGUAUAUUCCUGUGUGUUAUAUAUCAAGUAUUUAUUAAAGCGUAUAUUGUUUUCAAUAUAUGCUUGUUACAUCUGGUAAUCCGUUUAUUUGGCAAUCGCCAAUGGCAGUCAGCAGGGUUUAAGAACAUCCGUUGUUCGACCUGCUAGUCAAAUGCGUUUUGUUAAAAUAUACUUUUUCACUUUUUUGGUCUUUUGGAAAAUGUUUUUGUGCUGUAUUUAGACCCCUCUACCAAAAAAUUUGUUUUGCAUGCACAUGUAUAAAAAUUGCGGUUUUUAUCCAACGCAAUCAUAGGUUUGAACGUUGUUUUCGAUUUAGACUUGUAUAUAUAUAUAUAAGGGUACUUAUAAUGAUUGACAAUAUUAUAAAAAAAAGAUUAAACAUAUUUAAUAGAUGCAAAUAUUUCCUAUUUUCAAUACUUCAAUAAACCUCUGCAUAAUGUACUUGAUUAAUUGUGAAUAGUAUUAGGUCUGUGAUUAUGUUUUAUUCAGUUAUUUUAUUUUGUACAAGAAAGGUACAAUUUCCACAUAUUGUUUUAAUUGCCAUGCUUGCAGAUUAUUUGUAAUAAAAAGCUUUAAUUAAAAGCUAAAAAUAAAGAAAUUAUCAUGUU